UACGGGGGGGCAAGCGUUGUUCGGAAUUAUUGGGCGUAAAGGGCUCGUAGGCGGUUCGUCACGUCGGGAGUGAAAACUCGGAGCUCAACUCCGAGCCUGCUUCCGAUACGGGCAGACUAGAGGUAGGCAGGGGAGAGCGGAACUCCUGGUGUAGCGGUGGAAUGCGCAGAUAUCAGGAAGAACACCCGUGGCGAAGGCGGCUCUCUGGGACGGUACUGACGCUGAGACGCGAAAGCGUGGGGAGCGAACAGG
rnacentral:rRNA from 1 species